rnacentral:lncRNA from 1 species
CUUUCUACCAGAUUCGCUAUCAUGCUCUCCAGCUGGCUUGAAGAAGCAAGCCACCACAUUGCUCACUGCUCACAGAGAGGACCACAUGCGGAGGAACUGUGCAUAGCCUCAGGAGCUGAGUGCAGCAUCCAUGUGACAGUCGGGAAAAAUCUAGAGCUCUCAGUUCUACUACCGAGGGUCAUGCCUAACAUGAAUCCCUCUUAG